rnacentral:lncRNA from 1 species
AUGGCAAUUUCCCGGGCCGUUAUUUAUUUUUACUUUAAAGUCUUUAGGGGAGAUUUGCUUAUACGCUCGGAAACCUUCCAGCGCUCCAGCUCCGGCAACCCCGCUCGCCCUGGUCGCUGGGGGAGGGGUAGAGAACAAUUACUGAGUGACGCUUCUACAGGGAACCGGCAGAGAAAAGUCGAUUGUUUUUAUUGUAAUAGAAGGAGUGAGCAAACAGAAAAACCAGCCCCGGGUGAUCGGAAACAGGCAGGCGGAGAAUUAAAAGCGGGUUUCGGGCGGCAACAGGCCCCUCCUCUGCCCUCCGAAGGAGAAGCGGGCGCUGAGCGCUCGCAGCCGGCGGGACUGACCCCCACGGCCCGCCGCGCUCCGGACAGGCCGCUGCCCGCGGCGCUGGUGCACGGAUUGCUCAGCCGCCGCCGCCGGAGCCCGUCCGCUGCCGCCCGACCCGCCUCGCCGGGCCGGGCUCAGGCUGGGGGACCGCAAGGCUCUUCUGUGAGAAGGCAGGGAGGCAGCGGGGGCGCAGCUCCGAGCAUCUUCCGGCUUCUCCUCGGGCGGGCGCGUGCGCUGCGCUGCCAGUUCCAGAGCAGGUGCGGAGACGGACCGAGAGAGACAGCGGAAGGAGUUUCCCGGGCUGUGCCGUCGCUCACCGUCGGGCGCCAAUCAACACGCAGUUUUCUCUCGGGCCCGCCUCUUUGGGGGGCGUGUCCCUAGUGAGUGAUAGACGGAGCCGCCCGGCCCUGCUCAGCCCAGCCCACGUUGCUGCUUAGAUUGAAAUGCAGAACUCAAGCCUCUUUCAUCGGGGCACAGACUUCCUUUUACUCCUUCCUUUUGCACUCUCGCCGCCUCCUCCCGGGGAGAAGCGGAGGCACCGGCGGCCCGGGGCAGCGACAGGCCGGGCUACCGAGGCCGUGCGUCAAGUUUCUUUCUGGAAGUGCGGGACAGGGCCGGGCUGGUGUACGGCUCGGAGCAAUGGGUGAGUGGCUGCGGGGGCCGCUGUCAGAGCGGCGGCGGACGGGCGUUCCGCUGAUUGACUUUGCUCGGUUACUGCUGGGUGUAGGACUGCGCCAAGGGCCAGCGGCGCACGGCGGUCCGGUGUGCGCGCCGGCUGCUGGGCUGCUGUUGAUGCGGGAGUCCUGAUUUUAAACAGCGCAGCGUGGCAUCAGAGAGCCCCGCAGCCCCGGUGGCAAUCCAAGCCGUGUUUCCCACGCGCGCACGCACGGACGCUCGCAAACAAAACAGCCAAAACAACAACCCCAAACUCUCUCUAGCUUUGCCCUACGCUUGGUCCAGCUGCGCGGGUCUUCGGGCGGGGCGCGGGGGAGGGGGCGGGGGCGGGGAGCGGCCCGAGAGCUUCCGUGCGGAGCCGGCCAGCGGGUGCGCGUUCAGGAGUCGAGACCGAUUCCCCCGCCUGGUUCGGAGACUUUCUCGCUGCUUUGCUGGUCAGUUGCGGCCACUCGCUCUGUAUGUACGAGGGAAGGGGUCCUCCUGGACCGCGGCAAGUCUUUGCCGGGGGGGGGGGGCG